GCAGGGUCCUCUCCACCAAAGGGAGUACAGUAUUUGUGAUCCUCUAGGACGAACACAAUGCAAGUGAAAGUAAUUAUUGCUGAGUGAAAGUACUGCAAUAUUUUUCCUGCUCAAAGAGCCAAACAGAUGUCCUUUGCUGGGAAUUAUGCUUUUGAAUUAUUCUGUAAUGAUGUCUACCAGGAGUGCAGCCACCGAAAUACUGAUGUCUUCAAUCUAUCAGUGUUUCUUGGGCUCUGAUAACAGAUGCUUUCUGGUCAGGUGAGAAAUUCACUUUUAGCAGCAAUACUCCUCGAGAGCCAAAAUCCAUCAUGAUGGUCCUUCGGCCACUGGAGAAUUAUAGACUUGGCCUUUUCACCUUCAGAAGACUGGAUAUGAAAGAACUGUGUCUGGGCCUCAGCAAUCUCCCCAGGAAUCACAUUUUGACUUCACUCUGCUUCAUAAACAAAGGUAUCCUGUCCUACUAACACUCCUGUAAGUCAAUUUACUGUUAGAAUUCUAAAGGGAAAGUCUUCACAUUAUUUACUAGUCACCGUAUCUCCAGUACAUCUGCAUUUUGUUGUACAGGCUGCCUGGAUUUGAUCUUGACCACAACUUCUCCACAU